UGGAGACUUGCUGGGGCUCCACUCCCUGCGGGAGCUAUUGUUGGUCUCGCUGGAGCUGAGCGCAGAGCCGGGACCUGCUCCUUCCUGGGCGCCCUGCUCGGGCACGCGGAGCCGAGGAGCCUCGCCGCCGAGAGCGAGAGGAGCCACCGGCGCGGCGCCUUGCCUCUCUGCCGCCCUCCUCCCCGCUUCCCCGGCGGUGGCAGCCUGCAGCCACGAUGGAAAAACUGAGAACCAGAGAGGGCUAGUGAUCUCUCGGACUCUUGGUCAGUAGAAAGGAUCCCGUCCCAUCCUCCAGGAUCCGAUGGCCCUGGAGAGAGGGCUGCAGGGCCCACGGACACUGCUGACUCUUCAGAACGUGCUGACAUGGGGCCAGGUAGACUGAAAUUACCAUGUGUCCAAAUUAAAACUGCAUACUUCAAGGAUUAUUUGAAGGAUUAUUCUUAGACCCUUUUAAGAAGAUUUAAAGAAAAACCACUCGGCCCUGAGUGCGGCAAGGACCCUGUUUGUGGAUGUGGAGGAGCGCCGGCCGGAGGCCAUGGACGUAAAGGAGAGGAAGCCGUACCGCUCGCUGACCCGGCGCCGCGACGCCGAGCGCCGCUACACCAGCUCGUCCGCCGACAGCGAGGAGGGCAAGGCCCCACAGAAAUCCUACAGCUCCAGCGAGACCCUCAAGGCCUACGACCAGGACGCCCGCCUCGCCUACGGCAGCCGCGUCAAGGACAUGGUGCCGCAGGAGGCCGAGGAGUUCUGCCGCGCAGGCACCAACUUCACCCUGCGUGAGCUGGGCCUGGGGGAGGUGACGCCCCCGCACGGGACCCUGUACCGGACAGACAUCGGCCUCCCCCACUGUGGCUACUCCAUGGGGGCCAGCUCCGAGGCCGACCUGGAGGCCGACCCUGUGCUGUCCCCCGAGCACCCCGUGCAGCUGUGGGCCCGCAGCACGCGGUCGGGGCGCAGCUCCUGCCUGUCCAGCCGGGCCAACUCCAACCUCACGCUCACCGACACGGAGCACGAGAACGCGGAGACCGGUGCUCCCUUGCAUUGUUCAUCCGCUUCAUCAACCCCUAUUGAGCAGUCCCCCUCCCCGCCCCCUUCCCCUCCGGCCAAUGAGAGCCAGAGGCGGUUGCUAGGCAACGGUGUGGCCCAGCCAACCCCGGACUCAGACUCUGAGGAAGAGUUUGUCCCUAAUUCAUUCUUAGUUAAAAGUGGCUCCGCCAGCCUGGGGGUCGCGGCAAACGAUCCCGCGGGCAGCCUGCAGAACCACUCUCGGCUCCGGACACCGCCGCUGCCGCUUUCGCACGCCCACACCCCUAACCAGCACCACGCGGCCUCCAUUAGCUCCCUGAACCGGGGCAACUUCACUCCGAGGAGCAACCCAAGCCCGGCCCCCACGGAUCACUCGCUCUCCGGAGAGCCCGCGGCCGGGGGCGCGCAGGAGCCGGCCCACGCCCAGGACAACUGGCUGCUCAACAGCAACAUCCCGCUGGAGACCAGAAACCUAGGCAAGCAGCCAUUCCUAGGGACAUUGCAGGACAACCUCAUUGAGAUGGACAUUCUCAGCGCCUCCCGCCAUGAUGGGUCUUACAGUGAUGGGCACUUCCUCUUCAAGCCGGGAGGCACCUCCCCGCUCUUCUGCACCACGUCGCCGGGGUACCCUCUGACGUCCAGCACCGUGUACUCACCUCCGCCCCGACCCCUGCCCCGUAGCACCUUCUCCCGACCGGCCUUCAACCUCAAGAAGCCCUCCAAGUACUGUAAUUGGAAGUGCGCGGCCCUGAGCGCCAUUGCCAUCUCAGCCACGCUGGUCAUCCUGCUGGCGUACUUUGUGGCCAUGCACCUGUUUGGCCUAAACUGGCACCUGCAGCCGAUGGAGGGGCAGAUGUAUGAGAUCACGGAGGACACAGCCAGCAGUUGGCCUGUGCCAACGGACGUCUCCCUGUAUCCCUCAGGGGGCACUGGGUUAGAGAUCCCUGACAGGAAAGGCAAAGGAGCCACGGAAGGAAAGCCCAGUAGUUUCUUUCCCGAGGACAGUUUUAUAGACUCUGGAGAAAUCGACGUGGGGAGACGGGCUUCCCAGAAGAUUCCUCCUGGCACUUUCUGGAGAUCUCAGGUGUUCAUAGACCAUCCUAUGCAUCUGAAAUUCAAUGUGUCUCUGGGAAAGGCGGCUCUGGUCGGCAUUUAUGGCAGAAAAGGCCUUCCUCCUUCACACACACAGUUUGACUUUGUGGAGCUGCUGGAUGGAAGGAGGCUCUUGACCCAGGAAGCACGGAGCCUGGAGGGACCCCAGCGCCAGUCUCGGGGAGCUGUCCCCCCUUCUAGCCAUGAGACGGGCUUCAUUCAGUAUUUGGAUUCAGGAAUCUGGCACCUGGCUUUUUAUAAUGAUGGGAAGGAGUCUGAAGUGGUUUCCUUUCUCACCACUGCCAUUGAAUCUGUGGAUAACUGCCCCAGCAACUGCUAUGGCAAUGGCGACUGCAUCUCUGGGACCUGCCAUUGCUUUCUGGGCUUCCUGGGCCCUGACUGCGGUCGAGCCUCCUGCCCCGUGCUCUGCAGUGGGAACGGCCAGUACAUGAAGGGCAGGUGCCUGUGCCACAGCGGCUGGAAGGGCGCCGAGUGCGACGUGCCCACCAACCAGUGCAUCGACGUGGCCUGCAGUAACCACGGCACCUGCAUCAUGGGCACCUGCAUCUGCAACCCCGGCUACAAGGGCGAGAACUGCGAGGAAGUGGACUGCAUGGACCCCACGUGUUCGGGCCGGGGGGUCUGCGUGAGAGGCGAGUGCCACUGCUCUGUGGGCUGGGGAGGCACCAACUGUGAGACGCCCAGGGCCACGUGCUUGGACCAGUGUUCGGGCCACGGAACCUUCCUCCCAGACACCGGGCUUUGCAGCUGUGACCCAAACUGGACUGGACACGACUGUUCUGUCGAGAUCUGUGCUGCCGAGUGUGGAGGCCACGGCGUCUGCGUGGGGGGCACCUGCCGCUGCGAGGACGGCUGGAUGGGGGCGACCUGCGACCAGCGCGCCUGCCACCCGCGCUGCGCCGAGCACGGGACCUGCCGGGACGGCAAGUGCGAGUGCAGCCCGGGCUGGAACGGCGAGCACUGCACCAUCGAGGGUUGCCCUGGCUUGUGCAAUGGCAACGGCAGAUGUACCUUGGACCUGAAUGGGUGGCACUGCGUCUGCCAGCUGGGCUGGAGAGGAGCUGGCUGUGACACGUCCAUGGAAACCGCCUGUGGCGACAGCAAAGACAACGAUGGAGAUGGCUUGGUGGACUGCAUGGACCCCGACUGCUGCCUCCAGCCCCUCUGUCACGUCAGCCCCCUGUGCCUGGGCUCCCCCGACCCUCUGGACAUCAUCCAGGAGACACAGGCCCCUGUGUCCCAGCAGAACCUGCACUCCUUCUACGACCGAAUCAAGUUCCUCGUGGGCAGGGACAGCACGCACAUCAUCCCCGGGGAGAACCCCUUUGACGGAGGGCAUGCAUGUGUCAUUCGUGGUCAAGUAAUGACAUCAGAUGGGACCCCGCUGGUUGGUGUGAACAUCAGUUUCGUCAAUAACCCUCUCUUUGGAUACACGAUCAGCAGGCAAGAUGGCAGCUUUGACUUGGUCACAAAUGGCGGCAUCUCCAUCAUCCUGCGGUUCGAGCGGGCCCCCUUCAUCACACAGGAGCACACCCUCUGGCUGCCUUGGGAUCGCUUCUUUGUCAUGGAAACCAUCAUCAUGCGGCACGAGGAGAAUGAGAUUCCCAGCUGUGACCUGAGCAACUUCGCCCGCCCCAACCCUGUCCUGUCUCCUUCCCCACUGACGUCCUUCGCCAGCUCCUGUGCAGAGAAAAGCCCCAUCGUUCCGGAAAUUCAGGCUUUGCAGGAGGAAAUCGCCAUCUCUGGCUGCAAGAUGAGGCUGAGCUACCUGAGCAGCCGCACCCCCGGCUACAAAUCUGUCCUGAGGAUCAGCCUCACCCACCCCACCAUCCCCUUCAACCUCAUGAAGGUCCACCUCGUGGUGGCGGUUGAGGGCCGCCUCUUCAGGAAGUGGUUUGCUGCAGCUCCAGACUUGUCCUAUCAUUUCAUCUGGGACAAGACAGACGUCUACAACCAGAAGGUGUUUGGGCUCUCGGAAGCCUUCGUUUCUGUGGGUUAUGAGUAUGAAUCCUGCCCAGAUCUGAUCCUGUGGGAAAAAAGAACAGCAGUGCUACAGGGCUAUGAAAUCGAUGCUUCCAAGCUGGGAGGAUGGAGCCUGGACAAACAUCAUGCCCUCAACAUCCAAAGUGGCAUCUUGCACAAAGGGAACGGGGAGAACCAGUUUGUGUCUCAGCAGCCUCCUGUCAUCGGGAGCGUCAUGGGCAACGGACGCCGGAGAAGCAUCUCCUGCCCCAGCUGCAACGGCCUUGCUGACGGCAACAAGCUCCUGGCCCCCGUGGCCCUCACGUGCGGCUCCGACGGGAGCCUCUACGUGGGAGAUUUCAACUACAUCCGAAGGAUCUUCCCCUCCGGGAACGUCACCAACAUCCUGGAGUUGAGUCACACUCCAGCGCACAAAUACUACCUGACCGCAGACCCCACGAGCGGGGCUGUCUUCCUUUCGGACACCAACAGCCGGCGGGUCUUCAAGAUCAAGUCCACCGUGGUGGUGAAGGACCUCGUCAAGAACUCCGAGGUGGUGGCGGGGACAGGUGACCAGUGCCUCCCCUUUGAUGACACUCGCUGUGGGGAUGGUGGAAAAGCCACGGAAGCCACACUGACCAACCCCAGGGGCAUCACUGUGGACAAGUCCGGGCUGAUCUACUUCGUGGAUGGCACCAUGAUCAGACGCAUUGAUCAGAAUGGGGUCAUCUCCACUCUGCUGGGCUCCAACGAUCUUACCUCAGCCCGGCCCCUGAGCUGUGAUUCUGUCAUGGAUAUUUCUCAGGUUCGCCUGGAGUGGCCUACAGACUUAGCCACCAACCCGAUGGACAACUCCCUCUAUGUCCUGGACAACAACGUAGUCCUGCAGAUCUCUGAAAACCACCAGGUUCGCAUUGUCGCCGGGAGGCCCAUGCACUGCCAGGUGCCCGGCAUCGACCACUUCCUGCUGAGCAAGGUGGCCAUCCACGCAACCCUGGAGUCGGCCACUGCCUUGGCUGUCUCUCACAACGGGGUCCUGUAUAUCGCUGAGACCGACGAGAAGAAGAUCAACCGCAUCAGGCAGGUCACCACUAGCGGAGAGAUCUCACUGGUUGCCGGGGCCCCCAGUGGCUGCGACUGUAAAAAUGAUGCCAACUGUGAUUGUUUCUCUGGAGACGAUGGCUAUGCCAAGGAUGCAAAGCUGAACACCCCAUCUUCCUUGGCUGUGUGUGCUGACGGGGAGCUCUAUGUGGCUGACCUUGGGAAUAUCCGAAUCCGGUUUAUCAGGAAGAACAAGCCUUUCCUCAACACCCAGAACAUGUAUGAGCUGUCCUCCCCAAUCGACCAGGAGCUCUACCUGUUUGAUACCAGUGGCAAGCAUCUGUACACCCAAAGCCUACCCACAGGAGAUUACCUGUACAACUUCACCUACACUGGGGAUGGCGACAUCACACUCAUCACAGACAACAACGGCAACAUGGUGAACGUCCGCAGAGACUCUACAGGGAUGCCCCUCUGGCUGGUGGUCCCAGAUGGCCAGGUGUACUGGGUGACCAUGGGCACCAACAGUGCACUCAAGAGCGUGACCACACAAGGACACGAGUUGGCCAUGAUGACGUACCACAGCAACUCUGGCCUUCUGGCAACCAAAAGCAAUGAAAAUGGAUGGACGACGUUUUACGAGUACGACAGCUUUGGGCGCCUGACCAAUGUGACCUUCCCUACUGGCCAGGUGAGCAGUUUCCGAAGUGAUACAGACAGCUCAGUGCAUGUCCAGGUAGAGACGUCCAGCAAGGACGACGUCACCAUAACCACCAACCUGUCUGCCUCGGGUGCCUUCUAUACACUGCUGCAAGACCAGGUCCGGAACAGCUACUACAUCGGGGCCGACGGCUCCCUGCGGCUGCUGUUGGCCAACGGCAUGGAGGUGGCCCUGCAGACGGAGCCCCACCUGCUGGCCGGGACCGUCAACCCCACCGUGGGCAAGCGGAACGUCACGCUGCCCAUCGACAACGGCCUCAACCUGGUGGAGUGGCGGCAGCGCAGGGAGCAGGCUCGCGGCCAGGUCACCGUCUUCGGGCGCCGGCUUCGGGUUCACAACCGGAACCUCCUGUCUCUGGACUUUGACCGUGUGACACGCACAGAGAAGAUCUAUGACGACCACCGCAAGUUCACCCUCCGCAUCCUGUACGACCAGGCGGGGCGGCCCAGCCUCUGGUCACCUAGCAGCAGGCUGAAUGGUGUCAACGUGACCUACUCCCCAGGGGGCCACAUUGCUGGCGUCCAGAGGGGCAUCAUGUCUGAGAGGAUGGAAUACGAUCAGGCGGGUCGCAUCACAUCUAGAAUCUUUGCUGAUGGGAAGACCUGGAGCUACACGUACUUAGAGAAGUCCAUGGUGCUGCUCCUCCACAGCCAGAGGCAGUACAUCUUUGAGUUUGACAAGAACGACCGCCUCUCUUCUGUGACCAUGCCCAACGUGGCCCGGCAGACGCUGGAGACCAUCCGCUCAGUGGGUUACUACAGGAACAUCUACCAGCCCCCCGAGGGCAACGCCUCAGUCAUCCAGGACUUCACGGAGGACGGCCACCUCCUCCACACCUUCUACCUGGGCACCGGCCGCAGGGUGAUAUACAAGUAUGGCAAGCUGUCCAAGCUAGCCGAGAUGCUAUACGACACCACCAAGGUGAGCUUCACCUACGACGAGACCGCCGGCAUGCUGAAGACCAUCAACCUACAGAACGAGGGCUUCACCUGCACCAUCCGCUACCGUCAAAUCGGGCCCCUGAUCGACCGCCAGAUUUUUCGCUUCACCGAGGAAGGCAUGGUCAACGCCCGCUUUGACUACAACUAUGACAACAGCUUCCGGGUGACCAGCAUGCAGGCCGUGAUCAAUGAGACCCCGCUGCCCAUCGACCUCUAUCGCUAUGACGAUGUGUCGGGCAAGACGGAGCAGUUCGGGAAAUUUGGUGUCAUCUACUACGACAUUAACCAGAUCAUCACCACAGCGGUCAUGACCCACACCAAGCACUUUGACGCAUACGGCCGGAUGAAGGAAGUGCAAUACGAGAUCUUCCGCUCGCUCAUGUACUGGAUGACCGUCCAGUAUGAUAACAUGGGGCGAGUCGUUAAGAAGGAGCUGAAGGUGGGACCCUAUGCCAACACCACCCGCUACUCCUAUGAGUACGACGCCGACGGCCAGCUGCAGACGGUCUCCAUCAAUGACAAACCACUCUGGCGAUACAGCUAUGACCUCAAUGGGAACCUGCACUUACUGAGCCCCGGGAACAGUGCACGGCUCACCCCACUACGGUAUGACCUCCGUGACCGCAUCACCAGGCUGGGUGACGUGCAAUACAAGAUGGACGAGGACGGUUUCCUGAGGCAGAGGGGCAGUGAUGUCUUUGAGUACAACUCAGCGGGCCUGCUCAUCAAGGCCUACAACCGGGGUGGUGGCUGGAGCGUCAGGUACCGUUACGAUGGCCUGGGGCGGCGGGUGUCCAGCAAGAGCAGCCAGAGCCACCACCUGCAGUUCUUCUAUGCAGACCUGACCAGUCCUACCAAGGUCACCCACCUGUACAACCACUCCAGCUCUGAGAUCACGUCCCUCUACUACGACCUGCAAGGACACCUCUUUGCCAUGGAGCUGAGCAGCGGAGAUGAGUUCUACAUAGCCUGUGACAACAUCGGGACCCCUCUUGCUGUCUUCAGUGGAACGGGCUUAAUGAUCAAGCAGAUCCUGUACACGGCCUACGGGGAGAUCUACAUGGACACCAACCCCAACUUCCAGAUCAUCAUUGGCUACCACGGUGGCCUCUACGAUCCGCUCACCAAGCUCGUCCACAUGGGCCGGCGAGAUUACGACGUGCUGGCUGGUCGCUGGACUAGCCCAGACCACGAGUUGUGGAAGCAGCUUAGUAGCAGCAAUAUCAUGCCUUUUAAUCUCUAUAUGUUUAAAAACAACAACCCCAUCAGUAACUCUCAGGACAUCAAGUGCUUCAUGACAGAUGUCAACAGCUGGCUCCUCACCUUCGGAUUCCAGCUUCACAAUGUGAUUCCCGGCUAUCCCAAGCCAGACAUGGAUGCCAUGGAACCAUCCUACGAGCUCAUCCACACACAGAUGAAAACUCAGGAGUGGGACAACAGCAAGUCUAUUCUUGGGGUACAGUGUGAAGUGCAGAAGCAGCUCAAGGCCUUCGUCACCCUGGAACGUUUUGAUCAGCUCUACGGCUCCACAAUCACCAGCUGCCAGCAGGCCCCAGAGACAAAGAAGUUUGCAUCCAGUGGCUCAGUCUUUGGCAAAGGGGUCAAGUUCGCCUUGAAGGAUGGCCGAGUGACCACAGACAUCAUCAGUGUGGCCAACGAGGACGGGCGGAGGGUUGCUGCCAUCUUGAACAACGCCCACUACCUAGAGAACAUGCAUUUCACCAUUGACGGGGUGGACACCCACUACUUCGUGAAACCAGGACCUUCGGAAGGCGACCUGGCCAUCCUGGGCCUCAGCGGGGGGCGGCGAACCCUGGAGAACGGGGUCAACGUCACUGUGUCCCAGAUCAACACGGUGCUCAGUGGCAGGACUAGACGCUACACAGACAUCCAGCUCCAGUACGGGGCACUGUGCUUGAACACCCGCUAUGGGACAACACCGGACGAGGAGAAGGCACGGGUGCUGGAGCUGGCCCGGCAGAGAGCCGUGCGCCAGGCCUGGGCCCGCGAGCAGCAGCGACUUCGGGAAGGGGAGGAAGGCCUGCGGGCCUGGACAGAGGGCGAGAAGCAGCAGGCGCUGAGCACGGGGCGGGUUCAAGGCUACGACGGCUUCUUCGUGAUCUCGGUCGAGCAGUACCCGGAACUGUCAGACAGCGCCAGCAACAUCCACUUCAUGAGACAGAGUGAGAUGGGCCGAAGGUGACAGAGAGGACCGUGGCCGGGACUUCUUGCCAAAGACAGCUACUCUUUUGUGGCCGCAUACCUGACUGUGUUGUACUUAAAAAAAAAAAGAAUCCUUUUUUUAACAAGUGCAGAAAGCAAACAAACAAAAAAGAUACUGGGUUGCAUUGUAAUUCAUGCAACAUCCUUUUUUUUUAAGAAAAGAAAAACACAAAUUUGGCCUUCACACAUUUUUUGCAAAGAACAGAAGUCAGAUGUGAGAACCAGCACUGCACAGCAAGCCCUCAGUGUGGGCACCACGUCCAGAAGGGAAGGUCACCCACGGCAAAAGAAUGGCAGUGGUGGCAAGGGUACCAGCCUGCCUUCCUAGGUGAAGCCCUCUCCCCAUGACUUUGGGUAUCUUCCCUCCACUGCUCAGCUGCCACCACUGAGAAAUAGGAGUGUGGAGAGAGGUGCUUGGUGGCCUUUGAUUGUGGAAAGAGGCUUAAGAAGAAGUCAGCCAGACAGAGGAAAGCAUGAGUCAAGCAUCCUUCUAACGAGCUCCUGAAGGCUCCUCUGCCUCUCAUGUAUUGGGCUAAUUGCAGAGCUGGGAUGCAGCUGGAUAGGCUUUCAGGAAAUUCCUUCUGUGAAGUUCUUCUAAAACAGCUUCCCCUCUAGAGGAGCCCAACUGGGGUUUUAAAGCAAGAUUAAGGAGAAAGGAGGAAAGAGAUAAUUUGGUGUGGCCGGGCAGCAUCAAGCUACCCGACCAGGAUUGGGGGCGGUUCCUGAGGCUGGUGCCCAUGGAUCCAGAAGGCCGGGCUACAGUUUUCCCUGUGAAGACCUAUGCCUGUGGUCAGUGGGCAGAAGUUUAAGUCCUUUCAGGAGCAAGUACACCCCACACCUGGAGGGCAUGCCCAGGGAGAGGCAUCAGCCAAUGGGCCGGGGGAAGCAUUGAGAGUAGGGGAGAGCUAGGAGCUCCUUUCUCCUGUUUUAUCUGCCUAAUUACCACUGUCAUUACCUCUCACAGGAGGCUCUGGGAGACCAGGAGGGGAAGCCAAAUGCUUCCUUUUAAGCUGGGCUCCUUAGAAAAUGGGACUUUUAUGGGUUACAUUUUACAUUGAGUGUGGAAAAUGAAUUUUGAGUCUGAGCUCCUUCCCGUGGAAACCUUGUUGGACUGACAAGCUCAUGGCACCUUUAUAGCCUUACUCACAGAGUCUUCAGAAUAUUCCAUGAGUUAAUGAAACCGAAAAGGUCUCUUACUGCAUGAGAAUCGGAGCAGCACGGAGGCCGGGGUCUGCCUGGCAGAGGGAGGCACCCAGAGCUUCUCGGGAGAGGAGGUUUUGCCUUACGUCAUCCCACUGGGAUGAGAGGAUGUGUUUCGCUAAGUGCUCUUCCUGUUUCCAAAAAAAGUGACACUGCUGCUACGGUGUCUUGGACUAUUUGUCCACUGCUCCCAGAGCUCCGCUGAGUCAGAUGCAGUGCUCCCGGGCCCACUGUGCAAGGCGGGAGCUGGCGGCGGGUCCCAUCCGGCAGGAUCGUUCUUGGAUGGGAUGGAAAAUAGUUUGGCCUGAAGAACACAAGUUGUUGUUUUUUUUUAAUCCAAAAUAGACUUACGCCUCUCAAAUGUACUCUUGAUACAAGGAGCCCUUGAGCAAUGGGACCCUGCCCAUUGACCUAGAUGAUCAAUUCCAUCCUGGCUUCCUGACAUCAGUCAAGACCUGCUGGGGACGUCUACUUGGAGGUCAGAGACAGCACGAGGGCCGAAUGAACCAUCUCCCCACACCUCCCCAACCCUCUGACUCUCCACCCCUCACCCCCACCCAAGUAGCAGUGUGGACUCUUAAAGAUCAAGAUCACAGAGAAUAAUUGAGCACUCCUUUCCUUUAAACGAAUGACGUUACAUUUUUUCUGGGCCACGUACCACCAAGGAGGCAUAGCUUCUGUACGGGGAGAAGAGGAAGCAUCCCCAGCCUUUAGAGAGGACCUCAGGUGUGGGGCAGGUAGCAUCACGCACCUCAGUUUCACACUGCUGCUGUUGCUGUUGAAGGUGGUGCUUCUGGCCUCGGCCCUUCUGAGUUGGUUUCCAUUUGGGCUGGCAGGUGACUCACUGCCUCCACUCUCAGUCUGUCCUGCUGAGGCCAGCAGUGCCAAUCGCACCACAAGAGUGAGUCUGAAGGCAUAAGCCAGAGUUCCCUGUGCCUGCUCAGCGGCCUCCAGGCAUCAAAUCCCAUCUUUGACGGCACCUGCCCUUUUGGCAUUAACCAACCAAAACGUGUGCGUUCCUUAGAAUUACCAGCCCUCCCUCACUGGCUCAGGUUCAUUAUCCUGCAGGAUGUCAGCUUCUGACCCUAGAAAAAGGGUUAUUUUGGAAGAGCUCCUGCCUUCUCCCGUAUCCUCCACAGCUGCCAUCAGCUCCUCAUCCUCAGCCCCUCUGUCAUCACCUGAAAUAGGACUUCAGUGAUUCCCCAACUUUGUUUUUUAUAGGAUGAGAUUUCCUUUUUAUCCACCCUCCAGGCAGACAUCACUGGAGGGCAGAGCUAUGACAACGGGAAGAAGGGAAAGGAACUCCACGAUCAAUUACCCCUGAUGCUUGUCUCUCAGAACUGUCCACUGAGAAUUAACCCAAGGAACAGACUAGUGCCUGAUUUCUACCUAGGGAUGGAGGAUUUGAAACAAUUGCUAAGAAACUGACCAGAGGUUGAAAAUGGCCAGAGGGCGUGAUUUUAAAGAAUCGGGAUGAGGUGGGGCUGGGAGCAGAAGGUGAUAUAGGCAAGGAAGGGGAAUAAAAUUCGGCAGUGUUUUUAUAGGCACGUAACAAGGAAUCAGAUUUGUUUAAAAACAAACAAAAAAUAAUAAUAAAGGACCUUUUUAGCUGUGACUUUUAAGUACCACCUUAUAGGUGGCAGGGGUUUCCAAUAUGCAAAGAUGAGAUUUCCAUGUGAAAUCUUAGAAUAGUUUCACAUCUGCAGCCUGGUAUUUGCAGUUGCCACGAGGUGAGGACCAUGAGGCUGAGCUUGGUGCCCAGGAGGAAGGAGUCUGCCGGGCCUCAGCGGGGUCUUGGGUUUUGGGGUUUGUUCCCCUGGUGCUUAAAGUCGAAUCUAUCCUCCACUCCUCACAGCAGCCGCUAAGCCCCGGCCGUGGCUUCUGGUCCUGAGCUGGGACCUGCCUCCUGAGGGGUCUUGGAAAGCACCCAGUCUCUUUUUUCCCUGGGGAUCCUCAUUAGGAUUAAAAGCCCUCUAUUUAAGGUUCAAAAUUCCCAGGUAGUUUAUACACUUGUCUGUAUUUUACUGGACAGGAGGGGAUUAAAGAAAGAACUCUGUAGUUCAAGGCCCUUUCAUUUUACCUUCAAAAAACAGCAAACUCAUUUUAAAGACUCAUUGCUCAGGUGAUAGAAACUCUAUCCUCUCCAACCUUUCCAUUCUCAGAAACCAGCCUUGUGUACGUGACCGCCCCAGACAGCAGGCCGAUGUUGGGUUUCUUACCCCCUCUGGAAUGCCAAAGGCAUGAUACUGGGCGACCUCUUGGUCCCGAAGAAAAUGUGUUUGAUUCUGAGGGCAAACUGCCAAUGGAGAACCAACUUUCGGGCAGGCUCAGCUAUCCUGGCAGAAGCUGAGUCACGGAUGUUUGCUGGUGCCUGGCAGCCCUAGAUUCACCCAACACCAGAAUCCCACUUUUCUACACCUGCCUUUUGUUCUUGAAGACUUCUGAACCCACAGCUUCAGCAAAAGGACUCUCCCAAGCUGCCUCUGGACGACCAACACUGGAGACUCUGGCCUUACCAUGUGGAAAUAGUUUUCCUGAAGUCUGGAACUAAUUUUGAGAAGUUUUUUUCUCAACACUUUUGUGUUUCUAACACUGUAUUCUUGACUGUGUAAAUACCAACAAGGCUGUAAAUAAAUGCAGAUGUAGAUACCUUCUAGAAAAGAAAAAAAAAGGCAUAAAAACAAAACUAGAAGUGAUCCCGUGUAGCCUUCGUUGACAAAUAAAAGAA